AAUUUAUGGCUUCAUCCAUUUGUAGAUCUAAUAUAACGUGUCAUCUAACCUAUACUAAAAGGGUUAUAUGAGGAGUAGAGAGUGUGUCCACGUCAGAUUAAAAAAUCGACCAAUCAGAAGACUCCUUUUUGACACGUCAGCCGGCUCUGGUAAUGUUGGCCUUACGUUUUUUCUUAGCCCAAAUGUUGAAUCUGAAUGGCCACUCAGACAUUAAUCAAUCUAGAUCGAACGAAAGGGCAUGUGUUUGGAUCGGAGAGAGAGAGGGGAGUACGGUUCGGGUUCUUAGAUUUGUUGAGUUCCGAGGAGGUUUAUUAUCGUCGGCGUCUUGAUCUUCGCUGGAGAUACCUUCAACGUUAUCACUUCCAGAUCUGCUCUCAUGCUCCUCUUCACGGCUUCUCCUGUUCGUCGCACUCCCUUCAAAAUUAUUAUCGUUAUUGUUGUUCCUCAUGGACGCUUCUCCACGGUUUGUGAUGAGCAGCUUCGGGUAUAGAUCGGCAUGGAGAAGCGUCUUCAAUUCUUGUGGAAUUCCACCUACACCAUCUUCGUUGCAUAUAAAUACAAAUUGUAUGAGAGACGAAGCCAAAUCCUUUUGUUUUUCCUAAUUCUGAACUUCUGUUCAUUCUCAUUAAAACGUUCUACCAUGGCGACUUUUCAAGUUUAUUUCUCGGAGUUCACACCAGACUACUUUAAUUUUGGGAGGCCCGUCAUGUGAAGAAACGCAGGGAGCUGAUGGGCGUUCAUAUACUGCUUAUUGAUACAAAGGGGACCCUCUUCGAAGCCUCUAUCAGUGUUCACCGCCUUAACAACGCUUAAAAGAAGGCUCCUUUUAUGAGCUGAGUGAUUUUCAUGUUGCAAGAAGCAACCCCAAAUUCAGGUUUGGUAACGCUCUCCUGUUGCGAUUAGAUUUUCGGAACAACCCGUUUAGGUUGAGCUCGCAGAACCGAGUCAACAGAUCCUGGCUGACCGGUUUAGGUUCUGCAAGCAUGACCAACUCAUGUUACUCUUCAACACCAACACUGUUUGCCAGAAUCGGAGAAAUUAGGAGUAUCAAAACGUUUUCAACAAGGAGACCCAACAACGAUGAGUAUGUCGCCGUCAGUAUCUGAAAAGGAAUGAAUAAAAUAAAGACAAACAAGAGCUUUUAGCUGAAGAGAGAGAUUACAAGCGUCGAAGAAUGUGAAACCGUGGCAAGAAGUUGAAACGAACGCCUCGACAGGUGUUGUGUGAUAUGAUUGAAGGAUUUACAGAAGAAAUUAAGCUAGCAGGAGGUAUUGGAUGUUUUGAGAAGAGAAUGUCAUUAUUCUCCUCCUCUUUUAUAGGUCGUCCAUUCUUCAACGCAACCUCCGGAAGACACUUCUACUUUCACUAGGAAACUCUUGCCAGCAACAGGUUUCAUAAAGUAAUGUGUGGUUCUGAAACUGGCUCAUCCUCGACUUCUUUCAGUGAUUUAGAUGUUCAGAAAAUUGAAUCUGUCACGCUAUCGGAGCUGAAUGCCUAUGUCGUUAAUUCUAUCCCACAGGAAACUGAAUUCCUCUGCAAAGCCAAAGUCAGUGACAUCUCCUGUACUAGUGCUAUCGAAAGCUACAGCAUGGCUUCACAUCUUUUACAUGUGCCUGGUGUAAUGACGAGAAGGCUGUUAGGGACU